GUCCUGAUGGCUCACAUGAAGUUUCGUGCCGUUCCGACCUCGUUUGAUACGGUUAUGGUUAACCACACGGCCCCUCGGGCCCGACCCGAGCCCAGUCAACGUUUUGACCCGAUCAAAUCGGCCCGUGACCCGAAACGACCCUACUUGGGCCCUACAACAGCCACGUAAAGUUUCGGGAUGAUCCGACGUUCUUUCAUGGGGUUACGGACAAUCCACGCCAAACAAGCGUCACGGGCCGACCGAGCCGGGCCAACGGGCCCUCGGGACCCGAAAACUGAAUUUUUUUUCAUCCAAACCCAUUAAAACACGUUACCGAGGUCUCACGCAAAAUUUCAUGCCAAUCCGACGUCGUUUGAUGGGGUUUUGAGAUAUUAUGAUUCCUCAAAAAUUUAAUGUCUGUUCCUGUCACUUAGCUUUUUGUGCAAAAUGUAUAUAUAGGGGAGGGGUGGGUGUUGAGCAGCCCAUGCCCGGGCAAGGCAUGCCAGCGCCCAAGCCAAAGGAGGCUGGUGGCGUGCGUAUAACAGCUCAAAUGCCCCAACCAUGACCGAGAACAAGCGCCCAUCUCCCCUCCUUCCCCCCCACCAAGCGCCCCUCCCCCCCCAUGUUGCCUGCCCACUCGCACAGCUACUCGUGAUUUCAUGCCCAGCGACUAGUGAAUGUGCCUCGACGACCAGCAAACCUCGAAAAUUAUGAUUCCUCGUAAAAUUAAUGUCUGUUCCUGUCACUUUACUUUUUGUGCAAAAUGUAUAUAUAGGGGAGACCAGGGGCUUGAGCAACCCCUGUGCCCAAGCAAGGGUCAGAUGGAAGCACACGAGACGCGAGGUUUAAAGCCUAUACAAGCAAGGCGUCUGUCUCCCCAAGCCCCAUUGCCUAUAAAACAAGCCCGAUGCCUUGUAAAUGCCCCACACGAUGCCUAUAAACGACAACGAUGUUUGCUAGUUAAUCGAUCGACGCCCCACACCUUGCAGCAUGUUGCCUAGUAAACAAGCCAUGCUGCCUUGGAAGCGCCCCACAUCAUGGCAUGUUGCCUAGCACGCUGCCCUUGUUUCCAGCACGGCGACCUGAAAGCGUGGCCUGACGACGUGCUUGCCUUCGAAAAUUAUGAUUCCUCAAAAAAUUAAUGUCUGUUCCUGUCACUUUACUUUUUGU
rnacentral:rRNA from 1 species